UACGGAAGGCAGCAGUGGGGAAUAUUGCACAAUGGGCGAAAGCCUGAUGCAGCUAUGCCGCGUGUAUGAAGAAGGCCUUAGGGUUGUAAAGUACUUUCAUCGGGGAGGAAAAAACAAAACUAAUAAUUUUAUUUCUUGACGUUACCCGAAAAAGAAGCACCGGCUAACUCCGUGCCAGCAGCCGCGGUAAUACGGAGGGUGCUAGCGUUAAUCAGAAUUACUGGGCGUAAAGAGCACGUAGGUGGUUUUUUAAGUCAGAUGUGAAAUCCCUGGGCUUAACCUAGGAACUGCAUUUUGAAACUGAAAUACUAGAGUAUCGUAGAGGGAGGUAGAAUUCUAGGUGUAGCGGUGAAAUGCGUAGAUAUCUGGAGGAAUACCUGUGGCGAAAGCGGCCUCCUAAACGAAUACUGACACUGAGGUGCGAAAGCGUGGGGAGCGAAACAGGGAUUAGAUACC
rnacentral:rRNA from 1 species